CCUUCCACAGAACCUUUAUUCUAUAAACACUUCAUAUGGUUCUGAGAAGCUGUUGAAGGCUUUACGUCAAAAAAUGAAGCAGUGUAAAGUCAGAGCAAUGGCUGACAAUUUAUCAAUCACCAUGUUGGGACUACACAAGGGCAUGGAGGAAUGAAUAACCGUUAUGAUGGGAUUCCAUUAUCUUGGGACGCACGUGCUGUUACAUCUGGGUGAUUGCAGCACAGGCAACAACUUCCACAGAGUUCCAAACAUUGAUCAUAUCCAACAUUUUGUUUGAAAAGAUAUUACAGCAUGGCUGCAGUGGCUUUAUCAUAGUGUUGGCUUUCAAGAUUUCCUUUUUGAAUUUGCAAGAGGUUGCGCAAGCAAAUAUGUGAAGGAAUACAUUGAAAGAGCAAAACAAAUAUGUUCUAUUGGGGAGUAUUGGGAUCCUUGCAACUACAGUGGCUCUUGUUUGGAAUACAACAAAGGUAUUAUUUUCCUUUUAUAUCAUGCAUUAAUAGCUACUUUUUCAGGCGCCAAACAAGGCGAAUUUUAGUCCACAUAGGAUACUUCCCUAGUUCUUUUGAGCGAGUCCUUUAAAAAAUCACGGGCUUUUGUACAUUAUUCCUUUAAAAUAUCAUGGGCUUUUCUAGAUUAUUUUCUGUAUUAGCUCAGAAAUGCCCUGACAGUUAAAGUUAGUUGUUCUGAUAUAUUUCUCUUCUAACCAACAGUAGCUUGCUGAUGUAAAAAUAGGAUAAUCUGUCGUCACCAUCUUGAGUUUUCAACCAAUUGUGAGAAAUCUAAACAAAUAUAUAUUUCUUAAAAACUGGUUAAUGUUGUAGACUGACUGGGGAAGAUUUUGAAUUUUUAGAGGUUAGAAAUACAAUUUAAACUAUAGAAAUUGGGGCUCAAAUAUAAAAAUUGGAAAGAAAAGAAAAGAAAAGAAAAAAUCUACUAGUCAGAUGCUAGUCUCACACUAACAUGAUCUACAAUUCACUCCUAUUAAAAAAAAAAAAAAACACUUCCCAAAAAUUAGAAAUGCAUCACAACUUAAAUAAGCCACUAUUUUUGGAAUUUUUUAUUUUCAAAUAUAAUUGAUUAAUAGGCAUUACAAGUUUAGGUAUUUAUAGGCUCGACAUAAUCUACCGCCCAAAUACUUGAACUCCACAAAACUAAACUGCCAGGACUUAUUAGAAAUGGUUAACUUAUGACCCGAGACACUGUAAUGCAGAAAAUUACUUAAAUUCCCCUCAUUACUGGAAUUUCCUUAGCUGCUAUGCUGCCAACAAUAACCUGCCAUAAGUACUAAUCUAAUUCCAUGUAGAGUACCGUUUCUGUUUGUAUCAUCUGUAUUAUCCAAAUCAUGUUUCUUGAGGUGCUUAAAGACUUGCGGAAGAUUUGCUCUUGAUAUAGAUCCCUUGAUGAUGCUGGUAUUUCUUUCAGCUAUGGCUUAUGAUACGUUACUUCCCAACUCCCUCUCUUCCUUUUCCCUUUUAUAUUUAAAAUUUCCAUUUAGCUUUGAGAAUUUAGAUUUAUGCUUAGCGUAAUUUCAAUUAUCAUCUUCACAUUUUCCCAUCAAUGCCUUCUAUAGAUUGCCACUGACAAAUGAUUUUCAAAAUUGGAUCGAUAGCACAGGACUGCUUUCAACUGCAUUUGACUUCACUACGAAGGUAAU